UCGAACGAAUGUAGCAAUACAUUAGUAGCGACCGGGUGCGUAACACGUAGCUGACCUGCCCCUCAGCGGGGGAUAACAUCUCGAAAGAGGUGCUAAUACCGCAUGAACUCUUGGUAGUUAGAGUGCCAAGAGGAAACUUCAGGGGUUGAGGGAGGGAGCUGCGGCCCAUCAGGUAGUUGGUAAGGUAGUGGCUUACCAAGCCGAUGACGGGUAGGGGGCCUGAGAGGGUGGUCCCCCACACUGGAACUGACACACGGUCCAGACUCCUACGGGAGGCAGCAGUAAGGGAUAUUGGUCAAUGGGCGCAAGCCUGAACCAGCAACGCCGCGUGCAGGAUGACGGCCUUCGGGUUGUAAACUGCUUUUGCAGGGGACGAGAGAGGACGGUACCAUGCGAAUAAGUCACGGCUAACUACGUGCCAGCAGCCGCGGUAACACGUAGGUGGCGAGCGUUAUCCGGAUUUACUGGGCGUAAAGCGUGUGCAGACUGACUAGCAAGUGGUGUAUGAAAUCGCGGUGCUUAACACAGCGAGGUUAUGCCAGACUGCUGGACUAGAGUGCGAGAGAGGGAUGUGGAAUUCCGGGUGUAGUGGUGAAAUGCGUAGAGAUCCGGAGGAACCCCAGAGGCGAAAGCGGCGUCCUGGCUCGCAACUGACGUUCAGACACGACAGCAUGGGGAGCGAACGGGAUUAGAAACCCCG
rnacentral:rRNA from 1 species